UACGAGAGCCUCGAGCGUUAUCCGGAAUUAUUGGGCGUAAAGGGUGCGUAGGUUGUUCUGUUAGUCUUUUGUCAAAGCCCUGGGCUUAACCCAGGACCCGCGAAAGAAACGGCAGAACUUGAAAGUGCGAGAGGCGUGCGGAACUCAUGGUGUAGGAGUGAAAUCCGUUGAUAUCAUGGGGAACACCAAAAGCGAAGGCAGCACGCUGGCGCAUAUUUGACACUCAAGCACGAAAGCGUGGGUAGCGAAU
rnacentral:rRNA from 1 species